rnacentral:rRNA from 1 species
ACCUACGGGGCGCAGCAGUGGGGAAUAUUGCACAAUGGGGGAAACCCUGAUGCAGCAACGCCGCGUGAGUGAAGAAGGUUUUCGGAUUGUAAAGCUCUGUUAGCAGGGAAGAGGAAGGACGGUACCUGCAGAGGAAGCCACGGCUAACUACGUGCCAGCAGCCGCGGUAAUACGUAGGGGGCAAGCGUUAUCCGGAUUUACUGGGUGUAAAGGGAGCGUAGACGGCAAUACAAGUCGGAAGUGAAAUACCCGGGCUCAACCUGGGAACUGCUUUGGAAACUGUAUGGCUAGAGUGCUGGAGAGGG